GUGACAGCCGCCGCGGUAAUACGUAGGUGACGAGCGUUAUCCGGAAUUACUGGGCGUAAAGCGCACGCAGGCGGCGCCUUAAGUCUGGCGUGAAAUCUCUCGGCUUAACCGGGAGGGGUCGUUGGAGACUGAGGUGCUUGAGGUGAUGAGAGGGGUGUAGAAUUCCCGGUGUAGUGGUGGAAUGCGUAGAUAUCGGGAGGAAUACCAGUGGCGGAAGCGACACCCUGGCGUUAGCCUGACGCUCAUGUGCGAAAGCGUGGGGAGCGAACGGGAUUAGAUACCCGUGUAGUCC
rnacentral:rRNA from 1 species